rnacentral:rRNA from 1 species
UACGUAGGGGGCAAGCGUUGUCCGGAAUUAUUGGGCGUAAAGAGCUCGUAGGCGGUCUGUCGCGUCUGCUGUGAAAGCCUAGGGCUUAACCCUGGGCCUGCAGUGGGUACGGGCAGACUAGAGUGCGGUAGGGGAGACUGGAAUUCCUGGUGUAGCGGUGAAAUGCGCAGAUAUCAGGAGGAACACCGGUGGCGAAGGCGGGUCUCUGGGCCGUAACUGACGCUGAGGAGCGAAAGCAUGGGUAGCGAACAGG